rnacentral:rRNA from 1 species
GUGGGGAAUUUUGGACAAUGGGCGCAAGCCUGAUCCAGCAAUGCCGCGUGCAGGAAGAAGGCCUUCGGGUUGUAAACUGCUUUUGUACGGAACGAAACGGCUCUGGUUAAUACCCGGGGCUAAUGACGGUACCGUAAGAAUAAGCACCGGCUAACUACGUGCCAGCAGCCGCGGUAAUACGUAGGGUGCGAGCGUUAAUCGGAAUUACUGGGCGUAAAGCGUGCGCAGGCGGUUUUGUAAGACAGGCGUGAAAUCCCCGGGCUCAAGCUGGGAAUGGCGCUUGUGACUGCAAAGCUGGAGUGCGGCAGAGGGGGAUGGAAUUCCGCGUGUAGCAGUGAAAUGCGUAGAUAUGCGGAGGAACACCGAUGGCGAAGGCAAUCCCCUGGGCCUGCACUGACGCUCAUGCACGAAAGCGUGGGGAGCAAACAGGAUUAGAAACCCCUGUAGUCC